rnacentral:lncRNA from 1 species
CUAUGAUCAAAAGGCUUUAGAAAUUAAAUACAUAUCUCUAAUUCUCAAUAUUUUGAGAAUAUAUAUCGAAACUAAUUCUAUAGACAAUUUAAGGAUACAUUAUACUUGAAUAAAAAAGAACUUACUCUUUUUAUUGAUCAUAUCAAUAUAUUAAGUACAAAAUUAUAUCUUAGAUUUAUUGCAAUAAGUCAGUUAUAUUGACUUCUAGGACAUACAUCUAACGGUUCAUCGGUG